rnacentral:lncRNA from 1 species
CUAGUCUUGUAAAAAUUGCAUUUAACGUUAAAAGAAAGGUGACGAGAGUGACCUUUGAAUGAGAAGCUAACAGAUUUGUCUUUUAAAAUCAGCAAUGACUGGAACCUUAUGAAUAAAUUAUUAGCUGCUCUAUACUUCUUUCCCUGAAGUUGUCAGAUGUCUUAAGAGGUAAAUUAAUGUUGGUUCAGGAAGUAUAAAGUGAGUCAUAGGAAGAGAAUCUGGUUCAAUAAUCUUGAAAUGUAUUAAAUGUCAAAGAUGAUAAUUUAAAUUCUUUUUUUUCUACUUUUUUAUCUAAAUACUUUUAAGAGGCAAAGCUGGCUUUUGACAUAGAAUGAUUCAACAACAUGAAGCUGCUCACAGAACUUAACAGCUAUCAAUAUAUGGACAGCAUUCCAGAAUGCCUCCCACCCAUAGACGGACAAAGUUUGUUGACUCAUUUGUGAAAGUCUGAUAUAACAAAUACCCUAAAUAAUUUACCAACUUUGGAUUUACGCUUCAAACUUAAACUGUGCCAAACAACCUGUACAUACAAUAAAUGAGACUGUUAUAUACAAUAUUUGGAUGCACAUAAGAUGUGUAUAUGUCCAAAAUAUUUAAUAACCAUUCUGGAAUGAAAACUAACGAUCAGAACAAAUGCCAGCCACGGGCUGAGCAGGGUCCUGAGAGGCCUGUGUUGUUCCAGCUAAUGCUGAAAUCCUUUCUGAUUUUACAUCACUGGGAGAGAGGAAGAUGCCAGGGGUGGAUCUGGGAGUGGUUGCAGAAAAGAAACUGUUUACCAACUGUUGUGAGACUAUUUCAAUAAUUUUAAAAGCAGUGUGGCACCCUAGAGCAUAUCAAGUAAAUAUCAGUUCUGAAUAUGGAAACUUACGUAAGUUAACUUUUAACUGUCAAGGAAACAGACUCAGGAUUUAACUGACUUUUCCAAAGUCAUAUACACUCAGUUGCAUCACCUGAGCUACAUCCCAGGUCUCUUGACUCCCAAUCUUCUGCUCUUUUCAUCAAACUAAACAUUCCAGUUCAGUUCAGUUCAGUUGCUCAGUCGUGUCCGACUCUUUGCGA